AUGUAAUAUGAAAAGUUAUUAAAGAAACAUACUUGGGCAUGAUUCCACUAAAGUACUUAUUAAUCGCUAUUAAAUGUUGGCACAAAAUUUUAAAGCGCGCACAAAAUGAAAUCGUGAAAAAUUAGUCAACAAACAUCUUCGAUGUUUUUUAAAACACCCAUGUUUUGAUUUAACAUCGCAUUCGUAAAAACAUCGACGAACAUCGGAUGUUUGAAGCCACGACCAUCGAUUUUGCUCGAUAUAUUGAUGUUUUUUUACAUUCCUAGCUCUAGGUAGAGUAACAUAAAACCCCAGAAAAAAAGUAAAUUUACUGUAUUUUACAUUGCAAAAUAGAUAUUCUUUGAUAUGUUAUGCAGACUUUGUAUAAAACACUCCGAUUCUUUCUUAUAUAUAUUCGAUAAGAAUGGAUUGCAACUAGAAAUUGCUGAUAUACUCGGACGCCACUUUUGGUUUAUGCCCGAUCCAGAUGACAACAUUUCAUUGGUUAUUUGUUCCGCUUGCUGGAUGAAAGUUAAUGAAUUCCAUGAAUUUUAUGUAACAGUAGAGAAAAGACAUGCUACACUCACCAGUUAUGACUUCAAGAAGGAAACUUUCAAUGAAAUGGACAACGAAUUUAUUGACCCCAUCCUGAGUAUUAAAGAAGAGCUUUCCAAAACUCCUUUGUUGGGUAAUGAAGCUAGCAAAAGGCUGACUGACGAGCUGAACCCUUUCUGCGAAGUAGAAUGUGAUGAAGUGACGAACAGGACUCGUUUAGAAAAAAACGAUGUUUCUAUGUAUACAAGUGCAGAAACUAUUGGGAAUUCCGGAGGUAGUACGUAUUCAGCCAACUUUACUUUAGAAAAUGUAAGAAACGAUGUAAUUGAAAAAAUAUCAACUAAAAAAUUACAAAUGCUAAAAGAAGAGAAUUUGCAGCACGAACAUAAAGGGAAGAAAACAUUUAGCGUAAAGACAUCAAGAGAAGACGAUGAUAUGGUAAAAAAAUACAUCCAAAUGACUUGUGAGUUGUGUGCUUAUAUCAGUGGUGAUUAUAUUUCAAUGAGGAAGCAUUUUCGAAUACAGCACCCAAAGAUAAAAGCCUUCGUACGUUGUUGCAAUAAGAAACUGUUCGACCGGCUUGAAAUCGUACGGCACGCUUAUAAACAUCAUGAUCCCGAAUUCUUCAAGUGCAAGGAAUGUGAAAAGGUUUAUUCCGAUCAGUAUACUCUAAAAUUUCAUCUGAUGCACGCACAUGAGUCGGAAGGACUCAAUUUUGCAUGCGAUCAAUGUCCCAAGAAAUUUGCACGGCAAAAUUUGCUGGAGUUACAUCGUGGCUCGCAUGUCCCUAUAAGCGAGCGUACUUUCGUAUGUGAACAAUGUCCAAAAAGUCGAUUCGCUAGCAAUGAUCUAUUGAAAAUUCACAUUAGCAUGCGACAUCGACGUGCAGUCAACGUUUGUCAUGUCUGUGCUAAAGAAAUACGAGAUAAGCAAUCAUUCGAAAAGCAUGUGCGUUUACAUUUUGAAGCCACUGGCCCUCGAGUUAAAUGCCCACGGCCAGGUUGUGACAGUUGGCUGAAAGAUGAGGAAAUACUGCGACAGCAUCUGGGUCGCCACAAUGACGAAGGACUAAUAUUUACAUGUGACCAAUGUGGCCGUAAUUGUAAGAAUCGGCGAGCACUUCGCAGCCACAUUCUAUGCGUGCAUUCUAAAGAAGUAUUCACUUGUGGAGCAUGCAACAAAACAUUUAAGAAAGCUGUAUCAUUACGGGAACACAUGGCAACGCACACAGGGGAAACUCUGUACAAAUGCCCUUUCUGUACACGAACAUUUAACUCAAGCGCGAACAUGCACUCACAUAAGAAGAAAAUGCAUCCAGUAGAAUGGGAUAUUUGGCGCAAAGCCAAGAUUGGAGAUCCACAGUAUGUGAUAAGUAAACAGCAGACCGAUGUAUAGGUAUUUGAACUACAUAGAUACAGCGAGUGUCAGUGAAAAUGGUGUAGUAAAUUUUUUCCACUUCAUUUCAAUAAUAGUCAGAUGAAACAGACGUUCCUUACAGACUAGAGAUAAAAAUUUAGCUACUUAGACGAUACGUGUAAAACAUAAAGCACUCUACAGUUUCGAAAUCGAAGAAAAAAUAAAUAAACUUUUUGGAAGAGAAAUCCAGGUCGAUAGAAUU